AUGGUCUCCACCAGGCAGCGGGCUCACCUCAAGAAGACUGUGGCGACCCAGACGGAGGGCCUGCCCAGAGAUGUAGCAGUUCAGGUCUCAGGCUGCAGGGAGUGCCUGAGCCUGCUGCUGCCGGGGGAGGGUGGCAGCAAUUCCACCUGUGUGAGGUGUGAGCAGGUGGAUGAGCUGCUCAGCAUGGUAGUGGAUCUCAAGGAGGAGGUAGAGAGAUUAAGAUCCAUCAGGGAAUGUGAGCAGGAAAUAGACUGGUGGUGUAACUCUCUGCAGGAAAGACACCGGAGUGAAACCCCUCAGACGGUGGCAGAUCCUCUCGCCUGCCAUGAUCGAGCUGAGGGAAACAAACUGGGAGAAGAGGAGGAAUGGAAGCAGGUCCCAGCUCGACGACGCAGGCAACCCCCAUCCCGGCCUACCUCGGUUCUCCAGGUGCCUCUGUGUAACAGGUUUGAGGCCCUGGAACCUGAGAGAGAGGUGAGUGAGGAUGCAGGAGGAGCUCUGCCUGCAAGGUUGCCAAAGUUGCCCAAGGUGAGGCGGUCAACUCCACGGCUUGAGACUGCCUCUGCCAGGAAGGACAGAAGGGUGAUCGUCACAGGCGAUUCCCUUCUGGGGGGAAUGGAGGGCCCUAUAUGUCGGCCUGACCCUACCCGUAGGGAGGUGUGCUGUCUCCCUGGGGCUCGGGUCAGGGAUAUCUCUAGAAAACUCCCCAGUUUGAUCCACUCCUCUGAUUAUUAUCCCUUACUAAUAGUACAGGCCGGCAGCGAUGAGACUGCUGACAGAAGCCUGAAACUUAUCAAGAAUGACUUCAGGGGACUAGGGCGGUUAGUUCAGGGAAUAGAAGCACAGGUAGUAUUUUCUUCCAUCCCUUCACUGACAGAGAAGGACACUGAAAGGGGCAGGAAAACCCAUCUCCUAAACAUGUGGCUGAGAGGCUGGAGCAAACGCAAGAAUUUUGGGUUCUUUGAUCACGGGGUGGUUUACUCGGCACCAGGCCUGAGGUCUGCUGAUGGGUCCGGCCUGUCUCAAAGGGGGAAACGCAUCCUUGCCCAGGAGCUGGCAGGGCUUAUAGAGAGGGCUUUAAACUAG
rnacentral:lncRNA from 1 species